CCCAGACUCCUACGGGAGGCAGCAGUGGGGAAUAUUGGACAAUGGGCGCAAGCCUGAUCCAGCCAUACCGCGUGUGUGAAGAAGGCCUUCGGGUUGUAAAGCACUUUAAGCAGGGAGAAAAAGUUAUAAGUUAAUACCUUAUAACCCUGAUGUUACCUGCAGAAUAAGCACCGGCUAAUUCCGUGCCAGCAGCCGCGGUAAUACGGAAGGUGCAAGCGUUAAUCGGAAUUACUGGGCGUAAAGCGCGCGUAGGUGGUUUGUUAAGUUGGAUGUGAAAGCCCUGGGCUCAACCUAGGAACUGCAUCCAAAACUAACUCACUAGAGUACGAUAGAGGGAGGUAGAAUUCAUAGUGUAGCGGUGGAAUGCGUAGAUAUUAUGAAGAAUACCAGUGGCGAAGGCGGCCUCCUGGAUCUGUACUGACACUGAGGUGCGAAAGCGUGGGUAGCGAACAGGAUUAGAUACCCUGGUAGUCCACGCCGUAAACGAUGACAACUAGCUGUUGGGAGACUAUGUCUUUCAGUGGCGCAGCUAACGCUUUAAGUUGUCCGCCUGGGGAGUACGGCCGCAAGGCUAAAACUCAAAUGAAUUGACGGGGACCCGCACAAGCGGUGGAGCAUGUGGUUUAAUUCGAUGCAACGCGAAAAACCUUACCUACUCUUGACAUACUUGGAGGCUCUUGUAAUGAGAGUGUGCCUUUUGGAACCAAGAUACAGGUGCUGCAUGGCUGUCGUCAGCUCGUGUCGUGAGAUGUUCCGUUAAGUCGGAUAACGAGCGCAACCCUUACCCUUAUUUGCCAGCGAUUCGGUCGGGAACUAUAAGGGGACUGCCGGUGAUAAACCGGAGGAAGGUGAGGACGACGUCAAGUCAUCAUGGCCCUUACGAGUAGGGCUACACACGUGCUACAAUGGGAGAUACAGACGGACGCUAAGCCGCGAGGUGGUGCUAAUCCUAAAAAGUCUUUCGUAGUCCGGAUUGGAGUCUGCAACUCGACUCCAUGAAGUCGGAAUCGCUAGUAAUCGCGGAUCAGCAUGCCGCGGUGAAUACGUUCUCGGGUCUUGUACACACCGCCCGUCACACCAUGGAAGUGGAUUGCACCAGAAGUAGAUAGUCUAACCUUAGGGAGGGCGUUUACCACGGUGUGCUUCAUGACUGGGGUGAAGUCGUAACAAGGUAGCCGUAGGGGAACCUGUGGCUGGAUCACCUCCUUA
rnacentral:rRNA from 1 species